rnacentral:rRNA from 1 species
CCUACGGGAGGCAGCAGUGGGGAAUAUUGCACAAUGGGGGAAACCCUGAUGCGGCGACGCCGCGUGAGUGAAGAAGUAUUUCGGUAUGUAAAGCCCUAUCAGCAGGGAAGAAAAUGACGGUACCGGUUUAAGAAGCCCCGGCUAACUACGUGCCAGCCGCCGCGGUAAUACGUAGGGGGAAAGCGUUUGCCGGAUUUACUGGGUGUAAGGGGAGCGUAGACGGUGAUGCAAGUCAGAAGUGAAAGCCCGGGGCCCAACCCCGGGACUGCUUUUGAAAUUGUGUGACUGGAGUGCAGGAGAGGUAAGCGGAAUUCCUGGUGUAGCGGUGAAAUGCGUAGAUAUCAGGAGGAACACCAGUGGCGAAGGCGGCUUACUGGACUGUAACUGACGUUGAGGCUCGAAAGCGUGGGGAGCAAACAGGAUUAGAUACCCUGGUAGUC